rnacentral:rRNA from 1 species
UNUGAGCUUGCUUUCGAUACGGGCUGACUUGAGGGAGGUAGGGGAGAAUGGAAUUCCUGGUGGAGCGGUGGAAUGCGCAGAUAUCAGGAGGAACACCGGUGGCGAAGGCGGUUCUCUGGACCUUUCCUGACGCUGAGAAGCGAAAGCGUGGGGAGCGAACAGGCUUAGAUACCCUGGUAGUCCACGCUGUAAACGGUGGGUACUAGGUGUGGGGGACAUUCCACGUUCUCCGUGCCGUAGCUAACGCAUUAAGUACCCCGCCUGGGGAGUACGGCCGCAAGGCUAAAACUCAAAGGAAUUGACGGGGCCCCGCACAAGCGGCGGAGCAUGCGGAUUAAUUCGAUGCAACGCGAAGAACCUUACCUGGGUUUGACAUAUGCCGGAAGCGUUCAGAGAUGGGCGUGCCUUUUUGGUCGGUUUACAGGUGGUGCAUGGCUGUCGUCAGCUCGUGUCGUGAGAUGUUGGGUUAAGUCCCGCAACGAGCGCAACCCUCGUCCAAUGUUGCCAGCGGGUUAUGCCGGGGACUCAUUGGAGACCGCCGGGGUCAACUCGGAGGAAGGUAGGGAUGACGUCAAGUCAUCAUGCCCCUUAUGUCCAGGGCUUCACGCAUGCUACAAUGGCCGGUACAGUGGGCUGCGAGCCUGUGAGGGUGAGCGAAUCUCUAAAAGCCGGUCUCAGUUCGGAUUGGGGUCUGCAACUCGACCCCAUGAAGUCGGAGUCGCUAGUAAUCGCAGAUCAGCAACGCUGCGGUGAAUACGUUCCCGGGGCUUGUACACACCGCCCGUCAAGUCAUGAAAGUCGGUAACACCCGAAGCCGGUGGCCUAACCCGUUNGGGAGGGAGCUGUCGAAG